rnacentral:rRNA from 1 species
GACGAACGCUGGCGGCGUGCCUAAUACAUGCAAGUAGAACGCAGUUGCGAACGGGUGAGUAACGCGUAGGUAACUGCCUGGUAGCGGGGGAUAACUUUUGGAAACGAUAGCUAAUACCGCAUACUACCAGCUGGACCUGCGUUGUAUUAGCUAGUUGGUGGGGUAACGGCUCACCAAGGCAACGAUACAUAGCCGACCUGAGAGGGUGGUCGGCCACACUGGGACUGGGACACGGGCCAGACUCCUACGGGGGGCAGCAGUAGGGGAUCUUUGGCAAAGGACGGAAGUCUGACCGAGCAACGGCGCGGGAGUUGAGAAGGUUUUCGGAGCGGAAAGCUCUGUUGUAAGAGAAGCGGUAUCUUACCAGAAAGGGACGGCUAACUACGUGCCAGCCGCCGCGGUAAUAC